rnacentral:sRNA from 1 species
AUUUAGCCCCGAUAGAAGCGGUAUCCUUUUUCUGUCCGCUAAUGCGGAAAGAAAAAGAUUUAGCGGAUAGCGGGACGAAUG